UCCAGACUCCUACGGAGGCAGCAGUGGGGGAUAUUGCACAAUGGGGGAAACCCUGAUGCAGCGACGCCGCGUGGGCGAAGAAGUAUUUCGGUAUGUAAAGCCCUAUCAGCAGGGAAGAAGAAAUGACGGUACCUGAGUAAGAAGCACCGGCUAAAUACGUGCCAGCAGCCGCGGUAAUACGUAUGGUGCAAGCGUUAUCCGGAUUUACUGGGUGUAAAGGGAGCGCAGGCGGCACGGCAAGCCUGAUGUGAAAGUCCGCGGCCCAACCGCGGGACUGCAUUGGGAACUACCGGGCUGGAGUGCCGGAGAGGUAGGCGGAAUUCCUAGUGUAGCGGUGAAAUGCGUAGAUAUUAGGAGGAACACCAGUGGCGAAGGCGGCCUACUGGACGGUGACUGACGCUGAGGCUCGAAAGCGUGGGGAGCAAACAGGAUUAGAUACCCGAGUAAU
rnacentral:rRNA from 1 species